GGGUUCCAUCAUAAUCACCGAUUCUUAAUCUUUGAUGAACUUUGCUAUCUGAAAUGUUGCUGGGCUGGUUGGGUGAUAAUGUUGUUAUGUGUGAGGGGUUUUCACAAUUCCAAGACCCAAGAAAACGAGACAAACACUAAGGUAUUAAUGUAAUUUUGGUUGUUGGCUUCAUCCGAUUCUGUGGUGUUCUCUGUGUGAGUCUGUGAUUCAAUCUUGUUGGUGAUUGGGAAUGAACUGAGGAUUUGGGAUAGGAAGAUAAUGAAUUUGUAGUGAAUGGGUUAAGCUUUUCUCUCACAGGAAGAUGGCCUUAGGAGUUGUAUGGUAUAUGUCAGCGUUGAGGAUGGUGAUGGGAUUGAAGGGUAGUGAAGACUCAUACACAAGUGGGAUUAAAGGGUGGUGCAGGCUCAUACACAAGCUUGAGCAAUAGCAAGCAUAAAGUAGGCUUAAUACCUCUUUUGGUCCUUUUGGUCCCUCGUUAGAUGGGGAAUGUUCAAUUUCGUCCUACCUUUUUUGAAAAGUUCAAUUUGGUCCCAACUUUUAAAAAAAGUGUACAAUUAAGUCAUUUUUGGUCACGACAUUAAAUAUUUAACGAUUGAGCUGCCAACGUGGAAUCAUCUGUGCAAGGUGGCUGUUUUAGGUUGAUAACGUGGCUGACUAACUAAGGGUAAAUAUGUGAUUUUCAGUAAAAAAGAAUCCCAACAUCCUAACUUGAACCAUGUCUACCUUUCACUCCCAAUUCCUCACGUCGAACGCUAGCCCUAACAUCAUUUUUGCCCAUCAUCAUCUUCAACCUUGAUUUAUUCUACCGAAAUCCCCAAUGCCAUUUUUCCUGCAAGAAAGAACUAAUCUGAACACCCUGAAUCAAUCACGGCAAUGACAACCAAGCCGAAUAACGAAACCAAGCCCCUUGCCUCUCUUCACCUCUAAUCACGAAAACUCCAAGUUUAUUUACCUGCAAAGACAGAAUAUCCAGCACAAAGUAGGCUCUCACCCACACUCACACUCAUACGCACACAAUCCCAUUAUCAUCAUCAACCUUCACCUAUACUGUGAAAACCCAUAUGGCCAUUUUCCUGCAAGAAAAAAGCCUGACCCAUUAUUUCCAGAUUCAUCAUCUUCCUGUUUCAAAUCCCCUCUGUUAAAUUUUUUUUUCAGCAAAUCAUAAGCCAACUUCUCCAAGAAAUCAAUUCGUCGUAUACUAUGUUGUUCGGUUUAAUCAAUCAACCUUAACACCAAGGGGUGAUACAAGUGU
rnacentral:lncRNA from 1 species